rnacentral:lncRNA from 1 species
UUAUGUAAUUAAGUAUUAUUUUUUUUUUAUAGAGAAAGGAAGUAUAGUACUCGCUUCGUUUAUUUUUAAAAAAAUAAACUUAGUUGAAAAUGUAAAUAAAUUAGAAUUCGAAUUUGGGACCUCGAGUAUCAAUUUAUACCCUGUGGUUUCGCGCUUUCUCACUUUAGUAUCCUAUGAUUUAAAGUCCAUCAAUUUAGUCCCUGUGAUUUCAUUUUUCUCUUUUUAUCGGCUCCUCUGUUAAUAUUUCUCAUUUCAGAUAUCCUACCUAGAUUUAUCGAAUAUUUACUUUACUACUUUAGUUUAAACUUUGUCACUGAUUUUUUUUCUCCGUUAAUAUUUUGUUAAACUAUAUACAAAAAAUUCAGAUACCCUACCUAAGUUUAUUGAAUAUUCACCUUUGUACCCUUUAAUUUUAACUUUGUCACUGAUUUAAUAAAAAAAAUUAGUGUAAUGAAUAAUAAAAAAAGAAAAAUGAAAGCACAAAAUACUAACUUGAUAUACUUUAAACCAUAAAAUAUUAAAAUAAAAAAGUGUGAAACUAUAUGGGCUAAUUUGAUACACUUUAAAUUACAUAAUACUAAAAUGAGAAAAAUAUGAAACUACAAAAAAAAGGUAUUUAAAAUUAUAAUAAAAAAUUUCUUCUUUUCU